rnacentral:rRNA from 1 species
UACAGAGGUCUCAAGCGUUGUUCGGAUUCAUUGGGCGUAAAGGGUGCGUAGGCGGCGCGGUAAGUCGGGUGUGAAAUCUCGGGGCUUAACUCCGAAACUGCAUUCGAUACUGCCGUGCUUGAGGACUGGAGAGGAGACUGGAACUUCCGGUGGAGCGGUGAAAUGCGUUGAGAUCGGAAGGAACGCCCGUGGCGAAAGCGAGGUGCUGGGCGUGUACUGACGCUGAGACGCGAAAGCCAGGGGAGCGAACGGG